CUGGGAAGUGAAAUGAAACAGAUAAUGUAAAAUGAUUUCCUGGGCGACUCCAUGCUAAGAAAUAAAAUACAACAUAUGGAAUAAAGACAUGAUUUUGUACCCAAUCAUAUACAAUUUUCAGUCUCUGGAUUAUUUUACAGUAAAUCUUUCCUCCCUCAAACCUUCCUCCUGCUCUGUCAGAAUUCCCGUCUCUAAACUCACAUCCCAGUAAGGCAAAUCUUCAAUAAGAACAUACAUUUCCCCCGCUUUGACAUCUUCUAAGUUUAACAUUCAUAUUUCAGUCUCUUUGGUAUCCAGAAUUCAUCCCUGGAUCAAGUACUGGCCCUGCUUAAGAGAAGUUCAUAGUUUAUGAUGGAUUGGAGAUAUGCAUAGAAGUCAAUCCGAUAGCAGGAAGGUUGCUAAAACAAAGGUAAAGAGACAGUGAUGCAGAGGUAAAGAGAACGAAUGCAUACUCAGCCUGCAGAGGUAAUAGAGGACCUCCCAGGGGAGGUGGCAUUUGAAUUGAGUGUGGGAGAAUAGUGACCAUGAUCCCCCACAACUGUUCUCCCCACCCCUAUUUCUAAUUGCAUUGGGGACUUUCCACAUGAAUGUCUCACUGUCAUCUCAAAUGUACCACAAGCAGACUAAGACAGUCCUUUCCCCUGGAUACUGCAUCUUUUCACUGAACCCUGUCUUUUAAUUGGUGGCAUCACCAAUCAUCCACUUCCUGCCUAGUCAUCUCGUCAUUUCCGUUUUGCUGCCAAAUCCUGUUGUUUUUAUUAAGUACAAGAAAGCAACAGAACUCUUGUUGCUACCUUCCUUUCUUCUGGAUUUAUCCUGAUCCGAGCGCUCUGGCCAGGGUGCUACAUCAGCUCUUGGUUGGCCUCCCAGACCCCACUUUGAAUCUCCACUACACCAACUGCUACUUAAAUUUUCAGAAAAUGUUGUUUUAAGCAUGUCAUUCUCAUCCUCAAAAAUCUCCACUGCUAAGUGAAAGAAGCCCAACAAAAAAAGGACAAAUAUGGUCUGAUUCCAUGGAUAGGAGUAGCCUAUCACUAGAUCAGUCAGAUUCGUAGAGACAGAAAGCAAAAUGGUGGUUGCCAGGGCUUGGGGGAAAUGGAGAUUGGGAGAGUUAGUGUUUCAUGGGUGCAGAGUUUCAGUCUGAGACAAUUAUAAAAUUCUGGAAAUAGUG
rnacentral:lncRNA from 1 species